rnacentral:rRNA from 1 species
UACGAAGGGGGCUAGCGUUGUUCGGAAUCACUGGGCGUAAAGCGCACGUAGGCGGCUUUCUAAGUCGGGGGUGAAAUCCUGGAGCUCAACUCCAGAACUGCCUUCGAUACUGGAGAGCUCGAGUCCGGGAGAGGUGAGUGGAACUGCGAGUGUAGAGGUGAAAUUCGUAGAUAUUCGCAAGAACACCAGUGGCGAAGGCGGCUCACUGGCCCGGUACUGACGCUGAGGUGCGA